UAUUCCCAAUUUGGAAUGUAGUCCUGACUAUCCCAAGGAUCUUGGAAUCUCAGGGUUAGAAGGGAUCUUAAAAAAAUGCAUACCAAGAAGUGAGUAGCAGGAUCUUUCUCACAAAUGACUAAACAUUCCACUUUACAUAUUAAAUAUACUGAAAUUACUAACCCCAUUAAUAACACAGUAUUUAUUAUUGGCACUAAACUCCUGCAGCUUGCAAAGCUAUUUCAUUACGAUAAGGGUUUUAUUGAAAACAUUUUACUAUUGUCUGUGUUGAAAGAAUGAUUUGUGGUUCCACUGAGGGAGAGUUGUAUAUUAAAUAUAAAGCUUAGAUGUUGUGAUUCUUAGAAAAAGAAGAAAAUAGUUUUCUAACUAGGUGUAUGCAAAUUAGGAUUAUAAUUUAUCCUCUUCUUGUACCUUCUACACAU
rnacentral:lncRNA from 1 species